rnacentral:lncRNA from 1 species
UAAUUGGGGACUGAAACCCUCUGUCAACGAUAUCCGGUUCAGUAGGGUUAUCAGAAUUUUAAAUCUGAUGUAAAUACAGCUCUUUCCCUCCAAUUCGUACAGAUAGAAUAACAGAUUUUCCCAAUAGUAACGACUCUAAUCUUGGUGUAUAUGCUCUGCAUUUCACUGCCUUUUUGCGCUUCGGUGGUCGUUAUCAGAUUCUACUUAGUUCGAUCUGGGUGUCGAGAUAUUAUACCUCAUCUGAAAUAACUGACUGACGAAAAGAUUUUUGUGAUGAUAUUUUCUGCCUUCUGGUACAAGCCGCUAGUAGGCAAACUUGCGAGUUCAGCCAACGCUGCCAAGAUCAGUACUGGUAGUGCGCAGGAUCAUAUGCCUAGGUGGCCUGGUACUUCAAGUCUUCUUCUUAUCCUUUGGCCUCUGUCCUAUUGUUUAUCAUCGUCUCAUUAGGGUGCCUCAUGUUUAACAGUCAAUUAACCCGCGUAUCCAGGAUGCUCCUUUCGUUGUAUUUUGGCAGCUUCCUUAUGACAGUACAUAAUAUAUAUCGACUCCUGGAAUACCAUGUACAGAAGCGGGACAACGGGCUAUCUUUAUGAAAGCCUUCGACGCGGAAGAAAUACCCGUUGACAGUGGCAUGAUGAGAGCUUAUUAGUGGUCCGAUCGGGAUAUUUACUUUUUGACUCCUGACUAGGAGCGUCAGUUCGUUUCUCAAAUAAAAUCUUUCUUGUCCACAGGUAUAUGGAAUAAGCCAUUGUAUGAAGAAAUUAUCUAAUAAUGUUCCCUUAUUCUGGAGAUCACUAUUAGACGAAACUAGAAACUACAUUGUCGCAAUGAUGAUAUUUAAAUCUUG